GGCCUACCAAGGCGACGACGGGUAGCCGACCUGAGAGGGUGACCGGCCACACUGGGACUGAGACACGGCCCAGACUCCUACGGGAGGCAGCAGUGGGGAAUAUUGCACAAUGGGCGGAAGCCUGAUGCAGCGACGCCGCGUGAGGGAUGAAGGCCUUCGGGUUGUAAACCUCUUUCAGCAGGGACGAAGCGUGAGUGACGGUACCUGCAGAAGAAGCACCGGCUAACUACGUGCCAGCAGCCGCGGUAAUACGUAGGGUGCGAGCGUUGUCCGGAAUUACUGGGCGUAAAGAGUUCGUAGGCGGUUUGUCGCGUCGUUUGUGAAAACCCGGGGCUCAACUUNGGGCUUGCAGGCGAUACGGGCANACUUGAGUGUUUCAGGGGAGACUGGAAUUCCUGGUGUAGCGGUGAAAUGCGCAGAUAUCANGAGGAACACCGGUGGCGAAGGCGGGUCUCUGGGAAACAACUGACGCUGAGGAACGAAAGCGUGGGUAGCAAACANGAUUAUAUACCCUGGUAGUCCACGCCGUAAACGGUGGGUACUAUGUGUG
rnacentral:rRNA from 1 species